rnacentral:lncRNA from 1 species
GGGGGGGGAUGGACUGGCUCACUUUGGAUUGAAUGCUCACUCACAAGGAGAAAGUCAGCUCUUAUAAUAGCCAUAUGAGCUAAGGAUAUAGAGGAGAAAAUAUCAUGGUUGUUCACUUCACAGAGCAUCACUAGUGAAUACAUUGGAAUAAAAUAAGGUAAACUGGCCUUCUGUGAGCCUUAUGUCUCCACUUCUGAAAUAUCACAGGUAUUUUUAGUUUAACUCAAGAAAAAUUCAAAAGAUCUAAAAAAGCUGUAGAGAAAGGUAAAAAAUUACUUUAAGGCAAAAGAGCAUUGCUUCAGAUAGAGGGUGAUUUCACAAUGUCAAAAGAUUUUCUUCAUCAGGAAGAAUUAAAGAUUCUAUAUUUUACAUAUACCUACUAAUUUGACAUCAAAAUACAUAAAGCAAAAUUGACUCAUGGAAAAAUAGACAAGAUUACAUGUUUAAAAACAUCUUCCUAAAAUAUGUCACUUUGGUCCAAACCACUACUGCCAGAAACAAAUAUUUCACCUGAAAUUUCUUAAGAAAUUAGGCUUCUGCAUGUCAAGACCCAGUUAGCAGAGCUCCAGGGAAAUCCUAUCUCUGUCAUUCAAGGAUGAGGUAUAGCCGUGGUGUGGCAUGUCAAGAGCAUUUGAGUUUUUAUCAGGUUUAACCGUCAUUAAUCCUACUACUGGAUAGUGAUUGGCUGAUUCGAAAGCAAUGUGGCAUAGAAAUUCUUGCCCUAGUUUUCUGAGAGGGAAAAGGAAUUCCAGUAAUUCUAUGUUAUAUGCUAGAUCAUAUCUCCUUGUGGAAAAGCUGGUCACAUAAGCACCAAGGUGGCCUCGCAGAGCAGACUGAGAAAUUUGAUAGAAAGCAAGCCAGCCAUUUAUACUUCUUAAGGAUCUAAUAAUACUUUUUAAUAUGAUACCAAAAAUAUUACACAAUUUGUGGAAUAUUACCUUAAAUGUUUUAUUUAACAAAUCAUCCUUUUCAUACAUGAUUAUGAUGAUUGUAUGUGUGUCAGACAAUAUCUAAAACUGUAAAUUGGUGGAUCUUGACAAAUGUGAGUUCUGGUCUAAAUGCUCCCAGGUUCACCCCUACAUUUAAACACACACUCCAACCCAGAACCAAGUUUCCCAGGAGACCCCAAGACACAUGUGCACUUCACUUUGACUUCAGUUCAACAAAUUGAAUGUGUUAGUCUUGGGAAUUAAGCUUACUGGGAUCAUAUUUUUCCCAGAUUAAGAUCUUCACUGCUUUCUUAAUAUGUUAAAUCCUUUGCCUAGAAUCAGAUAAUUCCCACAAAACUCAAAGUGGAAUGAUUACUCAGAAGUAACUUCAGAAUUUUAACCUAUGGUGAAACUUCCGGAAGACUGUUUUAACUCUGACUACUCCUAAUGGUAAAAGGGGAUAGAAUUGGCAGGCAAUGGAGGCAGACAGUUAGGAGAGGCCAAGGAACCAGCCUUGAUGAUCAAAAUGCAUUCUUAUUUAAAGUGUUUCUCUGAUGGAGAAACCAGCUUUGAGAAGGUCUGUCAUUUGUCCACAUUCCCACAGGUAGUAAGUAAUAAAGUCCACAUGCACUCCUGUCUUAUUCCAAAAUCCAUGCAAUUUCUGUUACUAUACUAGUUUACUGUGUUCAACUGUGGUUACUAGGUUCAUUUAUUUCUUUCAUUCUUUUGUUCCUAUAAUCUAACAUUUAAUAAGUCUUCAUGAGUACCUACCUAACCAUAAAGGUAUUACAGAAUGUUAAAAAAUUGAUACAUUUAGGCAAACAAAAAAUGAAGAGGGGCUGCUUCAGAUGAACGCUACACACUGUAAGAAAAUAACCAUUUUAAGCAACAAAAAUGAAACAAAAGUGAGUAUUUGAGACAAGAGUAAAGAGGUCAACACUGGCCUGGUUCCUAAAUAUAAUGUUUUUACAUUCAUAUAACUUUGCAAAUGACUUCAUCCCCCCUCAUCUAAAUGGAUGGUAGGGAGAUAGAUGGGUAGGUAGAUAGAUGACAGAUAGUUACAUGGAUGAUGAUGGUGAUGAAGAUAGUAGAUAGAUAGAUAGAUAGAUAGAUAGAUAGAUAGAUAGAUAGAUAGAUAGGUAGAUAGAGAUGAUGAUGAUGGGGGAGGCAGGAGAAAGAAGAAAAGGCCACCACCCAAAACAGAGGAUAAAAGAAUAUUAACUUUGGACCUCAUUCCCACUGGCAUGCCUCAAAGCUUCCUUUCAAAGUAUUAGCAGAAAUGCUUUGACUGAGGGAUUGAUGAUCUAAGCUCAGGUGGUUUUUUGUUAACAUUAAGCCACUCCUGCCUCACCCCACGGAGCCUAGCUUGUAUGUCUGCCUGUACGUUAUUCUAUCAAGUGCAAUUCUAAGCAGUCCUUAGUCUGCCAAAGCUAAGAUGUGACAACAGUGUAAAUAGUUGUGGAUACCAGAGCUGCUAUUUGUUUUCUGUUCUGUUUUUAAUAUUCUAUGCUUGUUUUUUCCAUGAGUUCAGAACUUCUGAACCAUUUGUCUAAAUACUUGGAAUUUAGUUUUUUAUAAGCAGUCAAAUAGAAGCCAUCAGCCCUUAACACGCAUCAUAAUCCAUAAGCACAUCAUGUUGUUACUGACCCGGGUUCUUAUUAGACUCUUUAAUCAAUAGAAAUUAACAGGAGGCCAGACUAGGACUUCAGGCCAGGCUUUACUAGAACUUGUGCUGAAGCAUGAGGGAGGGAAAACAAGGAACAGGUUCCCUUGCUCACUCCCUGGGGUGGAGGUGGGGGGCAAGCUGGUCCAGGGGUGGCUUGGAUGCCCUGCUUUUGCUCAGGACACCUCAGAAGUGGAAGUUGGGUUUUUGGUCUUUUUGUAUCUUGUUUAUAAUUUGCCCCAACUGCACAUGCAAUCAGCUAUUUUUAGUCCCUUGUGGUUUCUUUGUCUUCUGCUGCUCAAGGAGACGAGUCCAGGUGCAAGCACUGCAGCGAAGGGUCCCAGGUCCUGUCUCAGGAUGAGGGUAUAUUUAGAUAAACAGAUGCAGGAUUGUGCGCUCACAAGGGCAUUUCCGCCCGAGGCCUUCAGAGGACAGAAACUUAACCCCAAAACAUCAGCUGUUCUCUUCAUCCUCGAACACCUAGAAAGAAUAUAAACUCAAGAAAUAUUUCUCUUAUAUUCCCAGACUCCUUGAUCCUGAUUAUUUUUUAAAUUAAAAGAAAUUUAAUUUUUUUUCAUUAAGCCCCUGUAAAUCCACAGUCAAUAUUUAUUAAGCAACUACUAUGUUCAAAUUACUAGUGAAGAGCUGGAGAAACAGAAGUCAGUGAACCCUGGCCCUGUCUUGGAGAAGCUCUGCUUAUUAGCCAGCUCCAGGGUGAGACCAGGCAGAAAGACACCUCUGAGCACCAAGCACCUGUAAUUUACUUACCCUUCUAAGCAGACUUGUUUGUGUAACUUUCUUGUAUCGGUGCAUAUUCUAGGUCUCUAGUUCUGUCCAGGCUCCGGUUUCCAGAAUUCACAUGAAUUUUCAUAGUUUUAAAUGUCCAUAACUCCCCAAAUGUACUGUCUUCUAGAAAAUGGAAACAUAAAAGCACUCAGGCCAUCUUUGAAUCAUGUAAGAAAGUAGUAGGGGAAAAUGGCUUUUUUAAUGCCAAUUUUAUUAUCUUAGCUUUAUUCUCAAUAGGUAGAAGUGGGGAUUAGGGAGUAAAUUUGGUUUCUAGAAACAGAUGUUCCUCUCACUUGGGCACUAAAGUUUGACAACUGCUUUCUAAUGUACCAAAGAUGAUCUCUAAUUUCUUUAUAAAGACAACACUUAUCAAUAAUUUGUGCCAGAAAUCGUGCCAGGUACCAGUGAUACAGAUAAAUGUGACAUGUGACCCAGUUCCUAUCCUCAGAGAACUUUGCUUAUUCACUUCCUCCUAAGUGAAUCCGAUGGUCCCUGUGGCUUCUUAAGAGGUGGCCGUGGCUACUAUAAAAGCAAAUGCCUCUCACCAGAUGCCAUUUCUGGGACUGGGAUGGUAAUGCAUCUCUACCCAAAGCCCAAGACCAAGAUUACAGGAUUUCCCAGCAAUCUGAGGAUGAUUACGAGCAGGCAGGUGAGGACAUCACACAGCAGUCUCUGACUGAGUCCAUAGGAGACGUGCAGCCUGCAUCGUAAUUUAGAUACCAAACACAGAUAUUGCGAACAGUGAAAGAAAGAAACACUUAGGAGGGAUUAUAAAGGAAAGCAUUCGAGUUUAAGGGUUGUGAAAAGGCCUGGGGAGUGAUGGAUCACAUUGUCCUCUCAAGAUGUCAGGGCACCCCAACCUGACCAGUAUAGCAUAUCUUCCCUCUAAAGCCCAGAGAGUGGAGUGGGGUCACCCAAGUCUGUGAGCGCUUUGUGCAUGAUGCUAAGUUUUCUGUCAUCCUCAGAUAAUCCUUGUCAGAGAAACCUGUGGCAUAAGGAGACAUGGAAAAGAACACUGGGGAGUUCCCACAGUGGCUCAGCAGUAACAAACCCAACUAGUAUCCAUGAAGAUGAGAGUUGGAUCCCUGGCCUCGCUUAGUGGGUUAAGGAUCCAGCAUUGCUGUGAGCUGUGGCGUAGGUCGCAGAUGUGGCUCAGAUCCCUAGUUACUGUGGCUCUGGUGUAGGCUGGCAGCUGUAGGUCCGAUUUGACCCCUAGCCUGGGAACUUCCGUAUGCCUUGGGUUCAGCCCUAAAAAGCAAAAAAAU